rnacentral:rRNA from 1 species
AUUGAACGCUGGCGGCAGGCCUCACACAUGCAAGUCGAACGAGUGGCGGACGGGUGAGUACUGUCUGGGAAACUGCCCGAUGGAGGGGGAUAACUACUGGAAGCGGUAGCUCAUACCGCAUAACAUCGGAUGUUCCCAGAUGGGAUUAGCUAGUAGGUGGGGUAAUGGCUCACAUAGGCGACGAUCACUAGCUGGUCUGAGAGGAUGACCAGCCACAAGUGAACUGAGACACGGGCCAGACUCCUACGGGAGGAAGCAGUGGGGAAUAGUGCACAAUGGGCGCAAGCCUGAUGCAGCCAUGCCGCGUGUAUGAAGAAGGCCUUCGGGUUGUAAAGUACUUUCAGCGAGGAGGCGUUACUCGAAGAAGAAGCACCGGCUAACUCCGUGCCAGCAGCCGCGGUAAUUC